UUACCCACUCCCGGCACGGGGAGGUAGUGACGAAAAAUAACGAUACGGGACUCAUCCGAGGCCCCGUAAUCGGAAUGAGUACACUCUAAACCCUUUAACGAGGAUCAAUUGGAGGGCAAGUCUGGUGCCAGCAGCCGCGGUAAUUCCAGCUCCAAUAGCGUAUAUUAAAGUUGUUGCGGUUAAAAAGCUCGUAGUCGAAUUUGUGUCUCGUGCCGCUGGUUCAUCGUCCGCGGUGUUAACUGGCGAGUCGCGAGACGUCCUGCCGGUGGGCUUAGCUCGCAAGGGCGGCCCAACUCAAUCCUGCCGCGGUGCUCUUCAUUGAGUGUCGAGGUGGGCCGGCACGUUUACUUUGAACAAAUUAGAGUGCUUAAAGCAGGCUAAAAAUUCGCCUGAAUACUGUGUGCAUGGAAUAAUGGAAUAG
rnacentral:rRNA from 1 species